rnacentral:lncRNA from 1 species
GAUAAUUGUGCUAGGGAAAUGCAGAUAUAUAUAUGUCGUAAUCCAUUUGAGAAAUUGUUUCAAUAUGAGCUAUUUAUGUAUGUACCUACAUAUAAUGUUAAUAUAUAUAGCUAAUAAUUGUUUGUUUUAUAUAAGAUGGAUAAAACAUGGAUGCUGGCAGACAGGAGGUCACUAAGGUUUAAGAUAGGAUUUGAAAAUUUUCUUAAGGUCGCAUCGGAUAAUGCUAAGGACCCUAAUAAUAUACCUUGCCCUUGCUUAAAGUGCUGCAACAAUGGAUUUGGUUCUAUACAGUUCAUUAAGGAUCAUGUCUUUUUUAAUGGUAUAAUGGAAAACUAUGACCGUUGGAAGUGGCACGGAGAAUGUUCUUAUGCCGCCAGACAUGGUUUGAGUGAGGGUUCUGAAACAGUAGAAAUGAAUCCAGAUUUAGGGAUAGAAGUAGAUGAUGUGGGUAAUGAAGAUGAAGAGCUUUCGGCAGACUCGAAUGAGUUUAUGCAGUUUGUAGAGGAUGGAGAUAAGCCUCUAUAUCCUGGUUGUACCAAAGCAACCAAGAUGAAUGGUUUGAUAAAAACCUUAAAUCUUAAAGCAAGGUACGGACUGUCCGAUUCAUGCUAUUCAGACAUUUU